rfam:Xanthobacter autotrophicus Py2, complete genome.
AGGCCGGGACGACCCGGCCAUUCCCUCGGGACCCGGCCGGGACGACCCGG